rnacentral:lncRNA from 1 species
AUUUACCAGCGUGUUCAGAAUCCAGCACAGGACCAGGAUGUUGAAGGACCUGAUGUAUCUGGGAGCAUGUAGUUUAAGCUGUGCCCACCUGAAUUCGCUGGGGCUGAUGGUGAUGACCUGGAAGACACUCAGGAGGCAGGCAUUGCUAACGCACACAGCCCUGCCCACUCUGUGAACAUAAAACACAAGUUUGCAUCCAAUAUCACUGAGGGAAUCUUUCGACCCAAAAGCAGCCAUUGUUUGUGGGAUUCCUUUAGAGAGUAUAACCUAGGAGUUGGCUACGGUCAGAUGCUUGAGAAUCAGAUCUGUGGACCAUAACAUACCUCUGGUGAAACAAAGGAAACUAUAGUGGUAAAGAAGAAAGAAAUUCCCCAGGAAUCCAACUAUGAUCUGAGAUAAGAAGAUCAUGCCUAUUGAAAAAUCCCUGGAGGCCAUUUGUCAUUUUUCAGUGUCUGAUAAUUACAUUCAAAGUGAGAGAACCCUGCGUGGAAACAUAAACUCUGUUUCACUUUGCAAAUAAAAUCCACUAUUGUCCACUUAC